AGGUGCACCUACAUAAGUCUCGACGCAGCCUCGUAGACCGAGCCCUGUGCGUCCACCCUCAGGUUACUUCGGUGAUGAGGCCGGUCCAUCUUCAGCGGCCCCACGCCCGACCCCACCAGUAUCGUUCGAGCCAUACUAUGGCACGGCAGCCUGGCCUUCUUCUGCUGCACCGCCAUACCACGCAGGCCCCUUCAGCCAGUACACAUGGAUGCCAGGAGAGUCUUCACAGUCCUCCUACCCUAGUCAGGAGGAUGAGACUGGCCCGGACGCCGCAUACGACCUCGUUCGUGACUUCUUCGGGGGCAUACCUGACUGCGACGUCCUCCAGCGGUCCCAGGUACCCAGUGCUCCCCUUCGGACACAGCCCACGCAGGACGAGGCCUCGACACCGGUGCUCCCUAUUAGGCCUACCAGACAAGUCGGUCCACCUGACCCCCUCACCUACUCCAGGGGCCACGUGAGGGUUAACCAGUGGCAUCGGGACUACGAUGGGGGGCAUGGGCGACGGCAAUGGGGGAGGCAGCAGUAGAAUUUUAGAUUUGUUGUAACUUACAUAU